CUAGAAACAGAAGCAUAUAAUUAUUGUCCAAACCCCUGCAAGUUAAAGUCUAUAAAUCUUGCUUUCCCUUUGCACUAUCAUUCAUCUCCACGUUGUGGUUCGAAGUUAUUGUUUCUGCUCCCGAAGAUGAAUGGUUCUUCAGCAAAGCUGGUGGCAAUUACAACACUAGUGUUGCUUCUGAUGGGGGAUUUUCAAGCAACUUGUGGACUACUUCCUCAUGGUAUAACUAAUAAUUAUCUUCCUUUUAUGAGAUCUCCAAGCAUUAGCAUUAGCUACUUAAAUCGACUUAGUUUUUACCAAUUUUAUUAUUUGGUAACUAAUUUCUUGCUUCUUGUGAUUUUCUCAUAUAAUUGAACAAGGUUGCUUUGAAUGUCAAAGUGAUAUUUUGAGUACCAAAAUGGUGCCUGUUCGCCGCAGCCUAAGACCAUUCAAUAGGCCGCCACCUACACCUGCUCGCAAUAAACAGCCAUCGCAUAGACAUGUUCCACUACCUCCCCCCCCCACCCCCAAAGAAACUCUAAAUCAGGCUUGACUUCCCACCCCACCCCCCGAGGACCAUCUGGGGCACGCGUCGUUCAUAUUUUCUUGUAUUUUUAUUUGUUUUCUUAAGAGAAGUUAAGUUUAUGUCCUCCAUUCUUUUCUUGUAUUUUUACUUUAUUAUUUCUACUUAUAUUAUGAGCUAAGGUUUAUGUCCCCUUAACUAAGUGUAAUUUCUUUUUUUUUUUUCUGAUUCAAUAAAAUUUCUCUUGUAUCGUUGAGGUUUGCUAAAAAAAAAUGGAACAAACCAAGCAACCAACCAAGAAACUAAACAACAGAAAAUUCAGCCAUAAUAUUCAAGCAAGAUUACCGAUAGAUAUAAUUGAAUUCUAAUAUCAUUCACCAAUGCAAUUGAAUAAAAAAAAUUGAAUUCAAAUAACUUCAAAUUUCAACCAAAGAAAAAAAAGGACACAUCCAAUUUAUUAAGCAAAGAUUUCAAUCGAUAGGUGAUGAGUCGAUAUUAUUCUAUAUUUUUACCCUAAUCUUAGUUAUAAUUUAUUUGUUAUUUUGUAAGAAUUUUGAUACUUUACUUUAUAUUUCAAUUGUAGGACAUGUGAAUCUAUUUUGAGCAAAAAACGAUGAAAUGAAAAUUUUGUGGAGUAGAUUCAUGCGUCUUUCAAGAUGAUUGUGUCGAAAUUUCAUAAUUUAUUUCUCAGCCGUUUGACCGUAGUGAAUAAAAGAAGGCUAAUCGCACAGUGCUGGCAACUUGACGUUUUGUUCUUGUUUGGGCCAUAAGUAAUUCAAGAUGAACUUUUUUUUUAGAAAAGUCCUUUUUAUAAAAUAUAAGGUACAAUUUUAUCUUUCUAACGCCACCUGGCAGGCCUGAUUUUGAGCAGAUUCGAUUAGGGAACAUGUUGAAUACUUGGUUGCCCAGAUUGUCCUAGGAUAGGAUUGUAUUUCCUAGUUUAUUAUUUUAAUUGGGUUUCCAAAUUUGUUGGAAGACCUAAUUUAGAUAAUUUGUGCACACUAUAUAUAUUUAGCCGGGUCUUUUUCUAGGGCCAGAAUGUUUUUAGACUUGGAGAUCUCAGCUUAGGAGCUUUUGACGAUUUGUUACAAGGGUGUUUUCUAUCUUUUCUUCUUAAUAAUAUUUGUACUUUUCAAUUAUAAAUAUGCGUAACUACUUCCUUUUGCUAUGGCGAGUCCACGAGCCUUGGUAUGAAUAUGUAGUUUCUUUUCAAUUUGUUUAUGGCAUAUUGCUUUGAAUUAUUAAUCAUCAUGUUUAAACCAUCUAUGUGUCUUAAUGUUUGAUCACCAUUAGGAUGUUUAGACAAGUAAUUUGAUGCAAUUCUGUUGGAAUGUCAUCUUGAAAUUGAGAAGGGUUUCUUGUGAUUGAUAAUUGUAAUUUCACUUAAGGUGAAUGCCACGUCGUAAGUGUUGCAUGAUUUUCAAAAGAUUUUUCACAAAGUUUAAUGAGUCUUGCAUGCUCAUAUUUGAUAUGAAUAUCACAGACGGAUUGCAUGUUUAAUAUACGUUCAAACUUGAAUGCCAUAAGUAAAAUAUGCAUUAGAAAGACCUAACCUCCAUGGUUUGCAUGUAUCAACUCAUACGUAAUUGAUAGAACUGCAUAUGAUUGAUUUUUUCUUCAAAACUAUUUAAUUUUCUCUUUGCUGCCGAGUUUUUACUAAAACCAAUUUCAAUUCUUUUAUUUUCUGUUUCUUUUAUAUUCUCAAUUUCAAAUCUUAUUCAAAUCUUGUUUUAAAUAGUCAGCUAAGAAUCGGUUUUAUAUACAAUUUAUUCAUAUUAGUUAUGUGAGUUUUAAAUACAAAUGGUUCAUACUACAAUUACUUGUUUUCUUGCAAGUCCAUCACCGUUCAAGCAUUCCGCUAAUCCGCCCGAGUGAUCACAUGGAUUUUUAUAUUAAUCGGAAGAGAAAAUUGCCUACGUAUAUAGUACCUGGAUGAGAACCAUUAGUGUUUCCAUUUGGCUUUGGAGUCUUAAUCUCUACAAAACCACUAAAGCCAAAGUAAAUGAAUGUGAUACGGUCGGUUUUUUUUUUUAUAUCUAGUAGUCAUAUAAGAAAUUUGGUGUAAAAUUAUAAAUGAGGAAUGAAAAGUAGGAAAUGUUGAAUCCAACGAUGUUAAGGGGUUGUU
rnacentral:lncRNA from 1 species